CCUACGGGAGGCUGCAGUCGGGAAUAUUGCGCAAUGGAGGAAACUCUGACGCAGUGACGCCGCGUGCAGGAAGAAGGUUUUCGGAUUGGAAACUGCCUUAGACAGGGAAGAAACAAGACAGUACCUGUAAAAUAAGCUCCGGCUAACUACGUGCCAGCAGCCGCGGUCAUACGUAGGGAGCAAGCGUUAUCCGGAUUUAUUGGGUGUAAAGGGUGCGUAGACGGGAAGUCAAGUUGGUUGUGAAAUCCCUCGGCUUAACUGAGGAACUGCAACCAAAACUAACUGUCUGGAGUGCUGGAGAGGAAAGUGGAAUUCGUGGUGUAGCGGUGAAAUGCGUAGAUAUUAGGAAGAACACCGAUGGCGAAGGCAGCUUUCUGGACAGUAACUGACGUUGAGGCACGAAAGUGUGGGGAGCAAACAGGAUUAGAUACCCUAGUAGUC
rnacentral:rRNA from 1 species